AUUGAACGCUGGCGGCAUGCCUUACACAUGCAAGUCGAACGGCAGCACGGGGCAACCUGGUGGCGAGUGGCGAACGGGUGAGUAAUGCAUCGGAACGUACCUUUCAGUGGGGGAUAACGUAGCGAAAGUUACGCUAAUACCGCAUAUUCUGUGAGCAGGAAAGCAGGGGAUCGCAAGACCUUGCGCUGAUUGAGCGGCCGAUGUCAGAUUAACUAGUUGGUGAGGUAAAGGCUCACCAAGGCGACGAUCUGUAGCGGGUCUGAGAGGAUGAUUCGCCAAACUGGAACUGAGACACGGACCAGACUCCUACGGGAGGCAGCAGUGGGGAAUUUUGGACAAGGGGGGCAACCCUGAUCCAGCCAUGCCGCGUGCGUGAAGAAGGCCUUCGGGUUGUAAAGCUCUUUCGGCCGGGAAGAAAUCGCACGGGCUAAUACCCUGUGUGGAUGACGGUACCGGAAUAAGAAGCACCGGCUAACUACGUGCCAGCCGCCGCGGUAAUAC
rnacentral:rRNA from 1 species